rnacentral:rRNA from 1 species
ACGCUGCGGGUGCUUACACUCAGGUCAACGAUGAAGCUGGAGCUUGCUCCGGUGGAUUAGUGGCGAACGGGUGAGUAACACGUGAGAAAUCUGACCUUGACUCUGGGAUAACUGCGGGAAACUGUAGCUAAUACCGGAUACUUUCCCUGGUGGGCAUCCACUGGGGAAGAAAGAAUUUCGGUCAAGGAUGAUCUCGCGGCCUAUCAGCUAGUUGGUGAGGUAACGGCUCACCAAGGCGACGACGGGUAGCCGGCCUGAGAGGGUGACCGGCCACACUGGGACUGAGACACGGCCCAGACUCCUACGGGAGGCAGCAGUGGGGAAUAUUGCACAAUGGGCGCAAGACCUGAUGCAGCAACGCCGCGUGAGGGAUGACGGCCUUCGGGUUGUAAACCUCUUUUAGCAGGGAAGAAGCGAAAGUGACGGUACCUGCAGAAAAAGCACCGGCUAACUACGUGCCAGCAGCCGCGGUAAUACGUAGGGUGCAAGCGUUGUCCGGAAUUAUUGGGCGUAAAGAGCUCGUAGGCGGUUUGUCACGUCUGCUGUGAAAAUCCAAGGCUCAACCUUGGACUUGCAGUGGGUACGGGCAGGCUAGAGUGCGGUAGGGGAGAUGGGAAUUCCUGGUGUAGCGGUGGAAUGCGCAGAUAUCAGGAGGAACACCAAUGGCGAAGGCACAUCU